GAUGAAGAACGCAGCGAAAUGCGAUAAGUAAUGCGAAUUGCAGAAUCCGUGAGUCAUCGAAUCUUUGAACGCACAUUGCGCCCGCCAGCACUCUGGCGGGCAUGCCUGUUCGAGCGUCAUUUCAACCAUCAAGCCCCCAGGGGCUUGUGCUGGGGCCCUGCGGCUGCCCGCAGGCCCUGAAAACCAGUGGCGGGCUCGCUAGUCACACCGAGCGCAGUAGCACAUCUCGCUCAGGGCGUGCGGCGGGCUCCUGCCGUGAAACCCCCCACUGUAACCCCAAAGGUUGACCUCGGAUCAGGUAGGAAUACCCGCUGAACUUAAGCAUAUCAAUAAGCGGAGGA
rnacentral:misc_RNA from 1 species